GGCCCGGUAGCUUAACUGGUAGAGCUCCUGUCAUGUAAUCAGGGAGAUUCAGGUUCGAUUUCUGGCUUGCCA
rnacentral:tRNA from 1 species